AUUGAACGCUGGCGGCAGGCCUAACACAUGCAAGUCGAGCGAGCGGCGGACGGGUGAGGAAUGUAUGGGGACUGCCCGAUAGAGGGGGAUAACUACUGGAAACGGUGGCUAAUACCGCAUACUGUCGGAUAAUCCAUAUGGGAUUAGCUAUGAAGUGGGGUAAAGGCUCACCUAGGCGACGAUCUCUAGCUGGACUGAGAUGAUGAUGAGCCACUCUUGGGCUGGGACUCGGCCCCGACUCCUACGGAGGCAGCAGUGGGGCCUCUUGCACCAUUGUCGCAAGCCUAUUGUAGCCAUGCCGCGUGUAUGCAACAGCCCUUAGGUUUGUCGAGUACGUUCAGCGGUGAGGCGUUACCCGCAGAAGAAGCACCGGCUAACUCCGUGCCAGCCGCCGCGGUAAUAC
rnacentral:rRNA from 1 species